rnacentral:lncRNA from 1 species
GGUGAAUGGCGACCGGAUGGAGCUCUAGGGAAGCGACAGCAGCGGCGGACUAGAGAAGAAGACAGGAACCAGGAUGGGAAGACGGACAUGUUACAUUUUAAGCUGGAGCUUCCCCUGCAGUCCACGGAGCACGUUCUCGGUGUGCAGCUCAUCCUGACUUUCUCCUAUCGAUUACACAGGAUGGCGACCCUCGUGAUGCAGAGCAUGGCGUUUCUCCAGUCCUCCUUUCCUGUCCCGGGAUCCCAGUUAUACGUGAACGGAGACCUGAGGCUGCAGCAGAAGCAGCCGCUGAGCUGUGGUGGCCUAGAUGCCCGAUACAAUAAGGAAGGACAGAGUAAAUGAACUUAAAUUGUUGCAAGAGAGUUUAUUCAUCUUUGAAGAAAAGAUUAUUGAUACUGCAGUAGGCCACCAAGAACAAGAGGGUGCUCUGUGGGACCAGCCUGGGUGGGCAGAAGGGUAGAAGGAAAAGAGGAGGAGUCUCCCAGGUGCUCACACCACAUCCUCCUCCCGUGUCCCAAGUAUCUGUGACCAACGGGACCAGCCCCUUUGCCUAUGACUACGACCUCACCCAUAUUGUUGCUGCCUACCAGGAGAGGAACGGUGGGUCACAGGUAGAGCCCAUUCAGCCGCUGCUCAGGACUUUCAAGGUUAGUGGGGGCAACAGAGACAAGCAGAACUGGAACCCUUGUGAUGAAAAUGUCAAAACCCGUGAAUGCUCAACGAUGGGAGCAAAUGUGCUGCCCAGGAUUUGUCUUUUUCGUCCUGAUCUUCAGACCCGGGACCACCCGCACCCCUCCAGCAUCCCGUGGUCCAGCAGGCUAGUGAUGGUUAAAUGCCAUCAUUAUCCCACCACUGGCUUGGUGGGUUUCUCUUUUAAAAAAUAUAAGCCUAAUUGAGUUGUUCCCCAUAGCACACCUAUAACAGAUGCCAAAGACAAAUUGCUGUUCAUGCUUUUCAGAGAAAAACAGAGAACGUGGGUGACUCUCCCCACAUUAGCAGUCCAGCAGGAGAACAGGAGUGCCCCUGUUUCCUGCCAGAAGGCACAGUGUGCUCAUUCCUUACAGAGCUCUAGGCCAUGGCAUGUGUUCACUCGGCAUGUUUGGCUGGUCCGUGGCUGAGGAUGUCUGUGAAGGCAUCUAGAGUGUUACUUGGCAACCAGACAUCAUGGAGACUAUACACAAACAUUUCACAAGGGGGAACGACUGCAAAUCCAGUAUUGCUUUCUGAUUUUAUGUCAUACAUUAGCAGCAUUUUUAUAAUAGUAAAGGGAAUUCUAAAACAAAACUAAAAAGCACGGCCCAAGAAAUCGAUGUUUUUUCUUUACUUUUUUCACUCUUUAUUCUUAUGUGGAUUUUAAAAAUAUACCUAUUAUGAUAGUGUUGAAACACUUUGGCAUCCAAAUUAUUUGUAUUUCCAUGUAAUAAAAGUAUUUCCCCACACUGC